GCUUAACGCGAAGAACCUUACCAAGGCUUGACAUGCACGGGAAGCCACCAGAGAUGGUGGUCUCUUUGGACACUCGUGCACAGGUGGUGCAUGGUUGUCGUCAGCUCGUGUCGUGAGAUGUUGGGUUAAGUCCCGCAACGAGCGCAACCCUCGUCCCAUGUUGCCAGCGGGUUAUGCCGGGGACUCAUGGGAGACUGCCGGGGUCAACUCGGAGGAAGGUGGGGAUGACGUCAAAUCAUCAUGCCCCUUAUGUCUUGGGCUUCACGCAUGCUACAAUGGCCGGUACAAAGGGCUGCGAUACCGUAAGGUGGAGCGAAUCCCAAAAAGCCGGUCUCAGUUCGGAUUGGGGUCUGCAACUCGACCCCAUGAAGUCGGAGUCGCUAGUAAUCGCAGAUCAGCAACGCUGCGGUGAAUACGUUCCCGGGUCUUGUACACACCG
rnacentral:rRNA from 1 species